CCUACGGGAGGCAGCCGUGAGGAAUAUUGGUCAAUGGGCGCAAGCCUGAACCAGCCAAGUAGCGUGAAGGAUGACGGCCCUACGGUUUGUAAACUGCUUUUAUACGGGAAUAAAGCGGCUUGUGUGUGCCGCUUUGGAUGUGCCUUAUGAAUAAGGACCGGCUAAGUACGUGCCAGCAGCCGCGGUAAUACGGAGGGUCCGUGCGUUCUCCGGAUUUAUUGGGUGUAAAGGGAGCGUAGUCGGCUUGUCAAGUCAGUUGUGAAAUCUUGCGGCUGAACCGGAGACUUGCAGUUGAUACUGGCGAGCUUGAGUACGGGAGAGGCAGGUGGAAUUCGUAGUGUAGCGGUGAAAUGCGUAGAUAUGAGGAAGAACACCGAUUGCGAAGGCAGUUUGCUGGACCGCAACUGACGCUGAUGCUCGAAAGCGUGGGUAUCAAACAGGAUUAGAUACCCCAGUAGUC
rnacentral:rRNA from 1 species